rnacentral:rRNA from 1 species
UGGGGAAUAUUGCACAAUGGGCGAAAGCCUGAUGCAGCCAUGCCGCGUGUGUGAAGAAGGCCUUCGGGUUGUAAAGCACUUUCAGCGAGGAGGAAGGGUAGUGUGUUAAUAGCACAUUGCAUUGACGUUACUCGCAGAAGAAGCACCGGCUAACUCCGUGCCAGCAGCCGCGGUAAUACGGAGGGUGCAAGCGUUAAUCGGAAUUACUGGGCGUAAAGCGCACGCAGGCGGUUUGUUAAGUCAGAUGUGAAAUCCCCGCGCUUAACGUGGGAACUGCAUUU